UGCAUGCCCUUCUUGGUCCUUGCCAUGCAGUGUUCCAAAGGCUCCUCCGGAGCACUGCUCCCUGCAACACAGCCCAGUCACAGCUCCCAAGCCAUCGGCCCUCCACACAGGAGCCCUGGGCAGGUGCACAGUGCCGCAGCUCUGCUGUGCAGUGAUGGCUAUGACCCUCAGGGCCGUCACACAGACCCCUCCUUAAAGCCAUCUGCCCCCCACACAAGAGCCCUGGGCAGGUGCACAGCGCCGCAGCUCUGCUGUGCAGUGAUGGCUAUGAUGCUCAGGGCCGUCACACAGACCCCUCCUUAAAGCCAUCGGCCCCCCACACAGGAGCCCUGGGCAGGUGCACAGCGCCACAGCUCUGCUGUGCGGUGAUGGCUAUGACGCUCAGGGCCGUCACACAGACCCCUCCUUAAAGCCAUCGGCCCCCCACACAGGAGCCCUGGGCAGGUGCACAGUGCCACAGCUCUGCUGUACGGUGAUG